rnacentral:rRNA from 1 species
CCUGAUGACCAUAGCGAGUUGGUCCCACUCCUUCCCAUCCCGAACAGGACAGUGAAACGACUCAGCGCCGAUGAUAGUGCGGGUUCCCGUGUGAAAGUAGGUCAUCGUCAGGCUCUUACAGCCCCAAAAACCCCCGCUCAAAC